UCUGGUUGAUCCUGCCAGUAGUCAUAUGCUUGUCUCAAAGAUUAAGCCAUGCAUGUCUAAGUACAAACCUUAAUACGGUGAAACCGCGAAUGGCUCAUUAAAUCAGCUAUGGUUCCUUAGAUCGUCUCAUCCUACUCGGAUAACUGUGGAAAAUCUAGAGCUAAUACGUGCUUACAAGCCCUGACCUCACGGGAGGGGCGCAUUUAUUAGAUCAAAACCAAUCGGGGCUUGCCCCGUCUGCUUGGUGACUCUGGAUAACUUUUGUGCUGAUCGCAUGGCCUCUGCGCUGGCGACGUAUCUUUCAAGUGUCUGCCCUAUCAACUUACGAUGGUAGGUGAUAUGCCUACCAUGGUUAUAACGGGUAACGGGGAAUCAGGGUUCGAUUCCGGAGAGGGAGCCUGAGAAACGGCUACCACAUCUAAGGAAGGCAGCAGGCGCGCGCAAAUUACCCACUCCCGGCACGGGGAGGUAGUGACGAAAAAUAACGAUACGGGACUCUUUUGAGGCCCCGUAAUUGGAAUGAGUACACUUUAAAUCCGUUAACAAGUAUCUAUUGGAGGGCAAGUCUGGUGCCAGCAGCCGCGGUAAUUCCAGCUCCAAUAGCGUAUAUUAAUGUUGCUGCAGUUAAAAAGCUCGUAGUUGGAUCUGAGGACUCGAAUUGGUGGUGCACCAUACGGUGUUACUGCCGAUUCGGCCUACCUAGUCGGGUGCUCGCUCUUGGUGUUCUUAAUUGAAUGCCCUGAGUGCCCGGCAAGUUUACUUUGAAAAAAUUAGAGUGCUCAAAGCAGGCCAUUAGCCGGAAUACUUCAGCAUGGAAUAAUGGAAUAGGACUUCGGUUCUAUUUUGUUGGUUUUCGGAACCCGAGGUAAUGAUUAAGAGAGACAGACGGGGGCAUUCGUACUGCGGUGUUAGAGGUGAAAUUCUUGGAUCGCCGCAAGACGAACAACUGCGAAAGCAUUUGCCAAGAAUGUUUUCAUUAAUCAAGAACGAAAGUCAGAGGUUCGAAGACGAUCAGAUACCGUCCUAGUUCUGACCAUAAACGAUGCCAACUGGCGAUCCGAGAUCGUUUGCUUAUUGACCUCUCGGGCAGCCUCCGGGAAACCAAAGUUUUUAGGUUCCGGGGGAAGUAUGGUUGCAAAGCUGGAAACUGUUCAAUUGCAACUCUGCCUGUGACACCAAGUGGUCGGGUUACUUGGUCUGUUCUGGCCCGGAGUCGGUAGGGUUUCCGGCCUUGUGCUCUUUCCUUACUGUUCUCUGUAACGCCGAAGGCGGGGCUUCCACGGUGGGGAAGCGGUUGUACAAAUCCGGCAAAUCCAGCCAAAUGGGUUCCGGACUCUGUCCAACCUGCAACUGGUAACACAGCCUCGGCUGGCUAACAUUUGAGCUGGGACUCGCUUGGGAGGAGCGAGGAUAAUAUAAACCUCUAUGUGACUGAGGUGAGGAAUCUGGUUCUCGUAAAAUGGCUGGAGAUCCCGAGCCUGUAAGUCAUAAAUUA
rnacentral:rRNA from 1 species